ACAGAGGAUGCAAGCGUUAUCCGGAAUGAUUGGGCGUAAAGCGUCUGUAGGUUGUUUAUCAAGUCUUUUGUCAAAUAUCAGGGCUUAACUCUGGGCAGGCAGGAGAAACUAGUAGACUAGAGUUCGGUAGGGGCAGAGGGAAUUCCCGGUGGAGCGGUGAAAUGCGUAGAGAUCGGGAGGAACACCAAAGGCGAAAGCACUCUGCUGGGCCGCGACUGACACUGAGAGACGAAAGCGAGGGGAGCAAAUGGGAUUAGAUACCCCAGUAGUCCUCGCCGUAAACGAUGGAUACUAGGUGUUGGGUGUAUUCAAAUCAUUCAGUACCGUAGCUAACGCGUGAAGUAUCCCGCCUGGGGAGUAUGCUCGCAAGAGUG
rnacentral:rRNA from 1 species